rnacentral:rRNA from 1 species
AUGCAUACAGACAUUACAUGGGAAAUGUUUCGCCGUGCAAUUGUGGAGGAAUUUGAUCCUGAAGAAUUUGAGUCCACAAUGCACAACCUGCUGCAGCUUCGGCAAACAGGGACAGUGGCAGAAUAUAGACAACAAUUUGAAGUCCACAUGUAUAAUUUGCUAGCGUUGGAUGCCUCUCUCAGCUCUAAAUUUUUUGUCACCCAAUUCCUGUUGGGCCUAAAGGAUGAGCUCCGAGCAGCAGUCCGUCUUCAGGCACCUACCAGCAUCACAAGAGCGACGGUCUUUUCUCGAAUUCAGGAGGAGGAACUUGAGAUUCGGUGUCCUCGUUUUCGUCCGUGUCUGCAGGACGACCACUGCCCAUUCCAAGUACCUUGCCAACACUCGGGCGCCCCCCUCCAGCACCUGUCUUGCCCACUACAGCAAUACCUCCAGCACGUGUUGUUCCGACACCCAAACCGGCUACUAACGAUUUUGGCCACGAACGCCAACUUCGCGACUAUAGGCGACAGCAUGGUCUUUGUUUCAGAUGUGGGGACAAAUACUCAAGAGAAAAUCAGUGCAAACGGUCAGCUCAGCUGCUUACAAUAG